rnacentral:rRNA from 1 species
GCAGCAUGGUCUUAGCUUGCUAAGGCCGAUGGCGACCGGCGCACGGGUGAGUAACACGUAUCCAACCUGCCGUCUACUCUUGGACAGCCUUCUGAAAGGAAGAUUAAUACAAGAUGGCAUCAUGAGUUCACAUGUUCACAUGAUUAAAGGUAUUCCGGUAGACGAUGGGGAUGCGUUCCAUUAGAUAGUAGGCGGGGUAACGGCCCACCUAGUCUUCGAUGGAUAGGGGUUCUGAGAGGAAGGUCCCCCACAUUGGAACUGAGACACGGUUCAAACUCCUACGGGAGGCAGCAGUGAGGAAUAUUGGUCAAUGGGCGCAGGCCUGAACCAGCCAAGUAGCGUGAAGGAUGACUGCCCUAUGGGUUGUAAACUUCUUUUAUAAAGGAAUAAAGUCGGGUAUGUAUACCCGUUUGCAUGUACUUUAUGAAUAAGGAUCGGCUAACUCCGUGCCAGCAGCCGCGGUAAUACGGAGGAUCCGAGCGUUAUCCGGAUUUAUUGGGUUUAAAGGGAGCGUAGAUGGAUGUUUAAGUCAGUUGUGAAAGUUUGCGGCUCAACCGUAAAAUUGCAGUUGAUACUGGAUAUCUUGAGUGCAGUUGAGGCAGGCGGAAUUCGUGGUGUAGCGGUGAAAUGCUUAGAU